AGUGAACGCUGGCGGUAGGCCUAACACAUGCAAGUCGAACGGCAGCACAGAGGAGCUUGCUCCUUGGGUGGCGAGUGGCGGACGGGUGAGGAAUACAUCGGAAUCUACUCUGUCGUGGGGGACAACGUAGGGAAACUUACGCUAAUACCGCAUACGACCUACGGGUGAAAGCAGGGGAUCUUCGGACCUUGCGCGAUUGAAUGAGCCGAUGUCGGAUUAGCUAGUUGGCGGGGUAAAGGCCCACCAAGGCGACGAUCCGUAGCUGGUCUGAGAGGAUGAACGGCCACACUGGAACUGAGACACGGUCCAGACUCCUACGGGAGGCAGCAGUGGGGAAUAUUGGACAAUGGGCGCAAGCCUGAUCCAGCCAUACCGCGUGGGUGAAGAAGGCCUUCGGGUUGUAAAGCCCUUUUGUUGGGAAAGAAAUCCAUCUGGUUAAUACCCGGGUGGGAUGACGGUACCCAAAGAAUAAGCACCGGCUAACUUCGUGCCAGCCGCCGCCGUAA
rnacentral:rRNA from 1 species